GUCUAUGGUCUACCGCCAUGUCCGAUGUCUGAUCUCAGAAGCUAAGCAGUGUCAGGCCUGGUUAGUACUUGGAUGGGAGAACAUCUAGGAAGACCAGGUGCUGUAGGCA
rnacentral:rRNA from 1 species